rnacentral:rRNA from 1 species
CGUGGAUCGAUUUGUCUGGUUUAUUCCGAUAACGAGCGAGACUCUAGCCUACUAAAUAGUAACGAGAUUGCCAAUGUCUCGCUUGCUUCUUAGAGGGAUUUUCGGUGUUUAGCCGCACGAGAUUGAGCAAUAACAGGUCUGUGAUGCCCUUAGAUGUCCGGGGCUGCACGCGCGCUACACUGGCGAAAUCAGCGUGCUGUAUCCAUUCUCGAAAGGGAUUGGUAAACCCAUGAAAAUUUGCCGUGCUUGGGAUCGGAAAUUGCAAUUAUUUUCCGUGAACGAGGAAUUCCAAGUAAGUGCGAGUCAUCAACUCGCUCUGAAUACGUCCCUGCCCUUUGUAC